GCUGGAGCUGCCCUUCUGCCGGGGCGCGCGCCCCGCACAUCUGUCCGGGGGAGGGGCCACAUCUGGAGCACCCGCUGCGGCCGGGGAGGCGCCGCAUCUGGGGCGGGUGCGGGGCGAGGCGCUCCCACGUGGCGCAGCAGCUCCCCGCCUGCUCGCUGCAACCGGGCAUUUGGCAACAGCCGAAUCCGUGCCCUGCAGCUGGGGCUGUGCGUGGCGUGGGCCCGCUCCCUGGUACUUGCUGGAGGUGCCGGUAGCUGGAGCAGGCACUGCAGAGCUCCCCAGGCAAACUGGGAAAUACUACUACUCUAUUUCCACAUGGUGACCCCACACGAAGUCAUCCGUCAGCAGCGCACAGGCCACCAGCGCGGUGACAAGCAUGACAGGGUGCCUGGCACCCCUCCGAAACGGGCCAAAUGCUGGACAAUUGCUCAUGCCACACAACUGCUUCUGAAGAACUGCGGACUCAGGGCAGUCAAGGGAGCAGGAGGCGAAGGAGCCUGGAGAGAGUCCCAGGCUGGGCGUGCCGGGCACCAGGGCUUGUCACCGGAACUGCCUCAGCUGCUAUAGGCACACUGCAGAGCUGGUGAUCUGUGGCACUGGACGGGGGAAUUAAUGAGACGGCGCAGAAAGCAGAGCAGCAGUGGGAGGAGGAGGAAGCAGAGCAGACUGGCUCUUACCCUUUCGGAAAUGUCACCCGAGGCAAGCAGGUGCCAGAGAGGGAAAGGCUCCAAGUGGGGAGAGGCGCCACGCGCCCACGGCCUGGCAGCUCCUCCUGGCCCCUGGCCUCUGCCUCGCUCUGGUUUAUCAUCCGCUCUGUCUCACUCAUCCCACCGCUGUCUGCUCAUCCAGCUCCUGCCCCGCGUUGCUCCCUGACCCUCUCCCACUCCGCUCAUCCCGCUUGCUCGGCCAUCGCCUUCCCUGCUACCUGCUGCACCGCUGCUCCUAGGAAUUUACUUCAGUUGGCCUUGAUGUGGGUGAAGUCGAAGGCAGCCCAGCGAUCCCGAAAGCCGGUACAGGGUGAGGAGCGCCCGGAGACCCCCAGCUUCACAGGCGGCCAGGACGAGGGCUGGGCACACGUGUGCCACACGCAGCGGCAAAUAAAUACGCAACCAGGAAAAUGCUACUUGCCUCCAAAGCCAGACUUUGUGCACUGUGCCACCUCCCCCCAGUGCCCCCAGUGACACCCUCCCAGUGCCACCUCCCCCCAGUGCCCCCAGUGACACCCCCCAGUGACACCUCCU
rnacentral:lncRNA from 1 species